rnacentral:rRNA from 1 species
CCUACGGGGGGCUGCGGUGGGGAAUAUUGGACAAUGGGGGCAACCCUGAUCCAGUCAUGCCGCGUGUGUGAAGAAGGCCCUCGGGUUGUAAAGCACUUUCAGUGAGGAAGAACGCCUGGUGGUUAAUACCCAUCAGGAAAGACAUCACUCACAGAAGAAGCACCGGCUAACUCCGUGCCAGCAGCCGCGGUAAUACGGAGGGUGCGAGCGUUAAUCGGAAUUACUGGGCGUAAAGCGCGCGUAGGUGGCUUGAUAAGCCGGUUGUGAAAGCCCCGGGCUCAACCUGGGAACGGCAUCCGGAACUGUCAAGCUAGAGUGCAGGAGAGGAAGGUAGAAUUCCCGGUGUAGCGGUGAAAUGCGUAGAGAUCGGGAGGAAUACCAGUGGCGAAAGCGGCCUUCUGGACUGACACUGACACUGAGGUGCGAAAGCGUGGGUAGCAAACAGGAUUAGAUACCCUGGUAGUC